rnacentral:lncRNA from 1 species
AAUAAUUUCAUUUACCUUUUCAGCUCACCCAUCUUGUUGCACCAUUCCUAUUAAUGAAAUAUUGAAAACUUGAUGUUUUGCUUUAGGAAAAUGGGACCAGUAUGGCUGAACAUGUUCGAAAUUCCGGUUGGCCAAAAACUGGCUCCUAUCAAGAUCCUCUUCAUAAUGCCUCUGAAGAAGCCACAGAACAAAACAUACGAGCUGGUACUCAGGCUGUUUUACAGGUGUUCAUUAUAAACUCAUCAAACAUAUUUCUUCUUGAACCUGCAAAUGAAAUAAAAAAUCUUCUGGAUGAGCACACAGAUAUGUGUAAACGCAUUCUUAACAUUUAUCGGUACAUGGUUGUACAAGUAUCGAUGGACAAAAAAACUUGGGAACAGAUGCUACUUGUAUUGCUCAGAGUCACGGAGUCUGUACUGAAGAUGUCAUCACAAGCUUUUCUACAGUUCCAGGGGAAAAAAAAUAUGACCUUGGCAGGUCGACUUGCAGGACCACUUUUCCAGACGCUUAUAGUUGCCUGGAUCAAAGCAAAUCUAAAUGUGUAUAUCUCUCGAGAACUUUGGGAUGACUUAUUGUCAGUAUUGUCAUCGUUGACCUGUUGGGAAGAAUUGGCCACUGAGUGGUCACUGACUAUGGAGACACUAACUAAAGUUUUAGCUAGAAAUUUAUAUAGUUUGGAUCUCAGUGAUUUGCCAUUGGAUAAGCUGAGUGAACAGAAACAAAAAAAGCACAAAGGGAAAGGAGUUGGACAUGAAUUUCAGAAAGUUUCAGUUGACAAGUCAUUUUCUAGAGGAUGGAGUCGCGAUCAGCCUGGCCAGGCCCCAAUGAGACAGAGAAGUGCAACAACCACUGGCUCUCCAGGGACUGAAAAGGCGAGGAGUAUAGUGCGGCAGAAAACUGUUGCCAUGAGAAGCCGAUCCAUUGGUGAAUGUGCUCUGCCAUCGGCCUAUAUACGCAGUGCUAAAAGUGCUCCUGUCCUGAUCCAUACUUCCAAACCCUUCUUGCCUGAUAUUGUUCUCACUCCCCUUUCUGAUGAGCUUUCAGAUAUUGAUGAUGCUCAAAUACAUCCCCGCUCAACUAGAGUCAGACAUUUUUCACAAAGUGAAGACACUGGAAAUGAAGUUUUUGGUGCCUUGAAUGAAGAACAGCCAUUGCCUCGAAGUAGCAGUACUUCUGACAUCUUGGAACCAUUCACUGUUGAACGAGUCAAAGGUGCAGUUCCUGUCAUUGACAGUUCAUCCCGUCAUGCACCAAGCUUGCAGAGUUCCACAGAGGCUUCUUCAAUAACUAGAUCCACUGAAAGCCACAUCACUGAUACUCAUAGUAGAGAGUCUUCUCUGGAAGUUGGUGAUAGCAUAUAUGACCAUCUUUGUCACUUAAUAGGUCCAGUAGAACUUGCAGAUUCAGCUUUUGAACAAAUCCAGUACUUUGACCUUGAAGGAGAUGAUGAUCUUCUUUCUUCCCUGAAAGAAUAUUUUAAGGAAAACCAAGAAAAUUAUAGUAAAAAUGAAAUAGGAAAAGAUACAGCUUCUCAGGAAGUGAUUAUUGCAGUAACUAAGGAUGAAAGAUCAUCCUUAGAUAAGUUAGAAUAUAGAGAUCAAGAAAUUAAACCAGAAAAUGUCAUGUCUUAUGUUAGGACUCCUGAAAGCAUACAGUUUCAGAAAGAACCAAGUGCACCUGCUUUCAUGAGUAAUGUACCUCAUCAGUCAGAUAGUUUUAUGAGAACACAAACUUCUGAAAAAUCUAAGCAACUAAACAUUGACAAACCAUCAUCAGAGCCUAGUUCAGGUAGCCCUUGUGAUAAAGAAAAAAGGAAAUACUUGUAUAGACAAGCAGCCACAGAAUUAGAUGCCUGUGUAGAUGUAACGCUAGUUGAAAAGCUUAAGAGUGUACAAAUUAAUGAAAAGAUCACUGUCCCACAUAUGCAUGCCAAGAAAACUACUCUAAAACCACCUGUUAACCGCAGAAUGCCUCAUGUUUCAAACACUAGCAAGCUUUCUCCUACUAAAAGGAGCUUGUCUGAAACAGUAACUCAUAGGGCCAAAAUCAUGAAAAUCACUACUAAGAAACGAAAUAGUGUUCAUGUUACUUUUAGACCAUCUACUGAGUCUGUUCAGUUUUAUAAUCCUCUGGAAAACAAAGAGCCUCCAUGGAAGAUGAGACUACGGAAGCUCAGUGGCUUUAGUAGUAGUAGUAGUAGUAGUAGUAGUAACAGUAACAAUAGCAGUACCAGCAACACCCAUACCAGCUCAGCUAGUGGCACAGAGCUUGUAAAACCUGGUGUAUACAGGCCUCUCGAUACGAUUAGCACAGCAUCAGUUAGUAGCAAAACAGUGAAGGAAUCUACAGAGAUUCCCACCACCACUGUAUUACAGAAAGAAGAAACUGCAAGUAAUCAGUUAGGUAGUCGUAGUACUCUCAGGUCAUCAAGUCAUGAGGCAGGACUACAGCAGGGCUCCCUGGGUGGCGUUUAUAAAACUGUUGUACAUGCUCUUUCGAAGCCGAAGGCAAAUGUUUCCCCACAGAGGCAGAACAGAAUGCCACCAGAGGCUCCACUGAGGGAUCUGUACAGUCAUGUAAUGGGCUAUUUUGGAAGGAAAGCUGCAGUCAAUAAAGAGGACAUGAGCCCCAAACUGCCUCCUCUUAAUAGUGAUAUUGGCAGCAGCAGUGCUAAUGUUCCUGACUUGAUGGAUGAGUUUAUAGCAGAACGACUGCGAAGCGGUAAUGCCUUGAAUAUGACAAGAAGAGGAAGUAGUCCAGGCAGCCUUGAGAUUCCUAAAGACCUCCCUGAUAUUCUAAACAAGCAGAACCAGAUGCGCCCCAUUGAUGACCCAGGCGUGCCCUCUGAAUGGACUUCUCCUGCUAGUGCAGGGAGCAGUGAUCUUAUCAGCUCAGACAGUCACUCAGAUUCUUUCAGUGCUUUCCAGUAUGAUGGCCGAAAAUUUGACAGCAAGUAUCUCUUAGUAUUUGAGUAGCAUGUUUUGUAUUGAUUGUCUGUUCAAGACUGAGUUACAGUUAUAUAGCCAUCAUCUUCCUCUCCAGUGUUAACUCAGACAGUGGUUCAUACAUAAUUUGAUUUCACUUCUCAGUGAAAUUCCUAAGGAAGUUUCUGGGAAUUUACCUCAGGUUGAGACCACUUUAUUUUGCCCAACUAGGGCAUAUGAGAAAUAAGAAAUAUUGCCUUUUCAUAGAACAAAUUAUAAUUUUAAGACCAAAAAAUGUGAAAAGGAAAAUAAAGGACAGUUCAUGGUUAUGAGUUGCUACUGUUUCAUGCACUUACAUUUGCGAACCAUUGACUAAUGUUGAAUACUACAAUACUCAGAACCUUUCUUAAAUAGAUUGCUCCAUGUUAAAAUUACUUCUGUGAUAUUACUUGGCACUUUAUUAUGACCUCAUGAUUAUUCUGCGGUACUUCUGUUAUACUUGACAAUUAGUGAAGAGCAUCACAAUUAAAAAGAAAAUGAAAACCUUGGGAAUCAAGUUUGUGAAGAACUGGGAGGUGCAUUGGUAAAUUACAUGUUUCCUUCCUUCGUGGGUUAAUUGUAUACUACCUUGAUCUCAGAUGAAUAUGAUUCAAGAGAAAGAUUAUUUUACCACGUCAUUUUUUAUAUAUUCCUUAACUAGAGAUUAUAAAAUACUUACGCACUAAAUGUAUUACCAGCUCUCAAAAAACAUGGAUCAAAUUAGUGGUGCUAUACCACGU